AAGUUUUUUUCUUUUCUCUUUUUCUUUCUCUUACUCCUUUUCUUUUCUCCUUCUCCUCCUCCUUAUUCUCUUCUUCUCCUUCUCAGGAUCUGGUUCACUGGUCCCAUUACAGAGUCAGCACAUUCAGAGCAUUCCCUGUACACCGGUUCAGCUUCUCUGUGUAAAUAACGAUUCCUAGGUGUUUCUGCUUUAGAGACCUUCUGAUACGUUUCAGUGCCGAUGUGGCAGAUCCCAGGACAUCUGAAGCAAGGUUUUCCCAGCAGAGAUGGAGAGGUGCUGCUGGACCUUUGCAAAGUCCUCUUCGCAAGGUUGCACCAGGCAAAAGGCACCUGCAGAAGCAAAUGCCUCUGCUCUCCCACAAAUGAUGCUUCACCCAGGGGAGAUGUGCUGCAUGAGUUUCACCUUUGAGGGGCAGGUGCAAUAGGCAGAGGAGGCUUGAACAUGGGAGACCUUCAACCAAAGCAGCCUGACCCCAGAAGAGGUGUCUCUUAAGCCAGAGAUUUUCCAAGUCCUGAAGAAGUUUCUUGCUAAGCCCCAGCUCCUGGAAUCACGUCAGUUUGUGUCCAGCCAAGCUUUCAAGAGAUGCAUGAAGUUAUCUGGACCUAAAGCCAGUUUGGGGUGGGGAAGACAGAGAUUCUCCUGCAUCCAAUGUCGAUGAAGAAUGUCUGGAGGACAAGAGAUCCCUAUGCUUUUUUCCUUGCCUAGAUGAGAAUGCCUGUUCUUCUAAGCUGUAUAUAGCCCUGCUUCUGCAGACUGGGCACUGGGGUGCCACGUUGCAUGGUGAAGGAUUAGGUAAUUUCCUUCCCUUCUUUUCUGGAAGGUGUUUUGAUUAGCAUAACCAUUGUGUUCCCAAAUUAGCUUGUGUUCCUGGCUUUGCCCUAAGGCUGGCUUUUCCUGUUACAAGCCUGCUCUGGCACAAGUGAUACCGCAGCAUCUACAGCAGCAUCGAAUGGUGCAGCUGAGGUUGGGAUGGAUCCAGCUACACUCAGUCUACCAGCUGCCCUUUCUGAGUGACCUUAGGCUAAUGCUGAGUCCUACAGCUCUGUAGCAUUCCAGUGCCUGGCAUAGCUGUGUGGAAACUUCCAAACAGCCCAAGCUUUGAUGUGAGAUUUGGGAGACCACGGCAUGUGCUGGACCAAGACCAGGAGCAGCCAGGACAACCCCAUCCCCGUCAUCAUGGCAGAGGGAGGGAAAGUUAACAUCUGGCAUGGGCUAAGCUGUGCAGCUCUGGUAUCUGAAGCCAUCCUGGUGGGAUGUGUCCGUCUUGGCAUGUGAAAGAAUGCAGAGUUCUGGGAGAAAAUUAGGAGUAGAAUGUGAAACAUUUACCAAGUGGCAACAAGACAGGCACACACAGAGUGAUGAAUCAGGGGCUCCCGAGUGCCAUGGAGAGCAGGGGCUGCUUGCAGAACAGAUCUGGUUGAGCAUGCAACUGGGAAGCUGAAGUCACUGGUUGGCAUGUCCCUUUGGUGUCAAGCCUUAUUCAGGCCAGAUGUACCAAUUCCUGUCUUUAUACAAAAGGAAAGGCUGCUUCCAGAGUCUCCAAAGGGAUGAAUGUGGAUGGAGGACUACAUGGAGGAUCAGCUUGGCUGGUAGACAACGCAGCAUCAUUCCCAUAGUGCAGGCAGCAACCAAAUCUGGAGCAAAGGACCCCCUCUGCUCUCGUUCCUACCAGGUUUCUGGUGUAUUUCUGUAGCAUAAAGUAUUCCAUGGUGGGAGCAAGGGUGGCAGGCACAGUCCAAGUGCUCAGGAUUGAAAUGCAAGGCUGAGCCCAGGCAGAGCUGACUGCUCUCCUGUAAGGAAACACAAGCCAUGCCUGUUUGCAUGCUCAGCCUCCUGGAUGUGGAUCCCAAUCCUACCCAAGCAGGAUUUCAUGGUCAUCUCUGCAACGACUGAGUCUGGACCUUCAGAAGAGACAGGGCUGCAGAGAGAGCCCUGCAGACCUUGUGGCGGGGUUGGUUUGAUGACUGUUGCGCAGAGCUAAAAAUACCCCAGCGAUGGUUAUGAAUUUAGGAUAACUAAUACAUCCAGUGAAGAGAUCUGGAGCCGUUCCAGGGCUAAACAACAGCUUCUUUACCAACAGCCAAAGACUUGUGGAUGCAAAAAUAACUGGGAACUGAAAAACUUGAGCUGGAGCAAGGGGUUUUCAAACUGAACCCAAGAAAAACUUUCUAGCGGAGAGGAUGACCGUGGAUAAUCGCCAGCGCUCUGGUUGUUUUAACAACAGGGUACACAGACCUCUCCAUUUGGGCUGGAUGCUGUCUCUGGGCAGGAGUUGGGUGAACUAGUAGUUAGGGAGAAUUCCUUUGAUAUGGGGGGAAAGCAAAUUAUACUGAUAAUACAGGACCCAGUGGCCUGGAUCAGCAGCAAGAAUCAGAGGGAAACACCAUGGUGGGAGGUAUAUGCUUGAGGUCUUAAAAAGUGGGAGGGGAAAGGCCAAAGAAUAAUAGGCUGUGGAUAAUGGGAAGAGUGCUGUGGGGUGGACCAGCUUUGAGCCAUGGUGGUGGUGGUGAGCAGAGGGCAAACAAGGCUUUCAGACAUCCAUCUACAGCCCCGAAACACAGCAGAGGGAGGAGGAAAAGAGAGAGCUGUGCCAUGGCGGCAGAAGACACCUGGGUUCACAUCCCUGCUCCAUCUGCUCACUCUGCACUGGAAGUGUUUAUGCCUAUUUCAGGUCCCUCUGCAGAAGCCUUAUUAUCAUAAUUAGCCCAGAAUGGUUCUCCAUUAGUGCAUUUUUUCUCUUCUUCCAUCACAUCAGCCCGCAUGAAACAGUCUCUUAUUCUCCUUGCUGUUGUGUCGAGACGUACCAGGCUGUGGGCAGGACCUGCUGCCCGUGCCCUGCCUGGCCUCAAUGGCACAACUUGUUCUCCGUGCAAGGGGCGAUGAUGCAGAUGUAAACCCCAGGGAUAACCAGGAAGAACAGCAUUGAUUGCCUGCUCCCGAGAAUGGCUGGCUACUGGAAUACAACAUCAGUGCCCCAAGCAGCCACAGCAGGCUGCAAGGAGCGAGGUGGCAGGAGGCUGGAAGGUUCCAAAUUAUCACUCCCUCACAGCCACUCUUAUAAUGCAUUCAUUUCUCAGUCUGCAGUCAGUGCCCAGAACCCAGAGUGUGCACCUCAAUGUGACCGAGGAGGUGCAGGAAAGGGAGAGAUACAGCUUUUGGCUUGGCUGAAGAUGUGGAGGCUGGGAGACAUUCUCAUCUGAACCCAGACCUUUUGUGU